GAUGAACGCUAGCGACAGGCUUAACACAUGCAAGUCGAGGGGCAGCACGGGAGUAGCAAUACAACUGGUGGCGACCGGCGCACGGGUGAGUAACGCGUAUGCAACCUACCUAUCAGAGGGGAAUAACCCGGCGAAAGUCGGACUAAUACCGCAUAAAACAGGGGCACCGCAUGGUGAUAUUUGUUAAAGAAAUUCGCUGAUAGAUGGGCAUGCGUUCCAUUAGGUAGUUGGUGAGGUAACGGCUCACCAAGCCGACGAUGGAUAGGGGAACUGGGAGCUUGGCCGCCCAACCUGGUACUGAGACACGGACCAGACUCCCACGGCGGGCAGCAGUGCGGAAUAUUGGUGAAUGGGCGGGAGCCUGAACCAGCCAAGUCGCGUGAAGAAAGAAGGAUCUAUGGUUCGUAAACUUCUUUUGCAGGGGAAUAAAGUGCAGGACGUGUCGUGUUUUGUAUGUACCCUGAGGAUAAGGAUCGGCUAACUCCGUGCCAGCCGCCGCGGUAACAC
rnacentral:rRNA from 1 species